rnacentral:rRNA from 1 species
UAGGGAAUCUUCCACAAUGGACGCAAGUCUGAUGGAGCAACGCCGCGUGAGUGAAGAAGGUCUUCGGAUCGUAAAGCUCUGUUGUUGGUGAAGAAGGAUAGAGGCAGUAACUGGUCUUUAUUUGACGGUAAUCAACCAGAAAGUCACGGCUAACUACGUGCCAGCAGCCGCGGUAAUACGUAGGUGGCAAGCGUUGUCCGGAUUUAUUGGGCGUAAAGCGAGCGCAGGCGGAAUGAUAAGU